GACGUAGGGCGCGAGCGUUGUCCGGAUUUAUUGGGCGUAAAGAGCUCGUAGGCGGCUUGUCGCGUCGACUGUGAAAACCCGCGGCUCAACCGCGGGCCUGCAGCCGAUACGGGCAGGCUAGAGUUCGGUAGGGGAGACUGGAAUUCCUGGUGUAGCGGUGAAAUGCGUAGAUAUCUGGAGGAACACCGGUGGCGAAGGCGGCAUUCUGGACCGACAUUGACGCUGAGGAGCGAAAGCCAGGGGAGCAAACGGG
rnacentral:rRNA from 1 species